UGAUGAGCAGUGCCAUGUCCGCGCCCAGGAUUUGAACCAACGAAAUGCUGGGCCGCCCGCAGCGGAGCAUGCAAACUUAACCACUCGACCACGGGGCCAGCCCUCAAGAGCUGACUCUUUAUGGCCCACAUACUACUACCUCCGGGCGUCAGUGGUGCACUGAUCACAGGCCUGUUGCCCCUACUCCAUGGGAGUUAUCUCAUCUGUCCCUCUCAAGGGAGGAAGCUGAAAUUCAGAGAGGUGUGGUGGAAGCCAUGAUGCACGGCUUCCAAGACUGGGUCCCGAAAGGCACUGUGGCUUGCUGCUUGCCCCCUCUCUUGGAUCACACGUGCUGGGAGAAGCCAGCCACCACGUCAGGAGGCCCCUCAAGCAGCCCUGUGGAGAGAUUCAGGUGAUGGGGGACGGAGGUUUCCUGCCAAAGCCAGCCCUGAUCACUGUCUGUGUGAGCGAGCCAUCUCAGGAGGGAAUCUUCCGGCCCCAGUCAAGCCUUCGGAUGUCUGAGCCCCAGGUACCCCCUUGAUUGCAGCCUCACGAGAGACUGCAUUAACCGUGUCUUUUAUGUUCUGUAUUCUGAAGCGCUGACAUCUGGGGCCUUGCUGACUCUGGAGGGACUAGUUAAGUCCUAGAGAUGGUAAACAACCUUCCUGCCAGUGUGCCUUCCAAAUAUAAACCAACCAAUUCAGAGUCCAUACCCCCUACAUUAUUGGGCUCUCACACUCAGGACCGCUGUCCCCUGCCCUAACCACCCCAAGGCCAGGUACUCGAUGACUAGGGAUAGCCCCUAUGCCCCAGAGCCCACCGAAAUUAUCCAAACUAGCCAAUCUUAAGCCUGCUUCCCCUGCUUUGCCCACUCCUUUCUGUGGGAGCCACAGUAAAGGCUCCUGCCCACACUUCUCCCUCUGCCUCCAGAUUGACCCUGGUGCUUCCCCAUGCGGCCCCCGUGUCUUUGGCCUGCCCCAUUCUCUUGGGAUCUGUGAGUCACAAACUGUCUUUUCAAUGGUGGUUUCCUCCUGAUCUCUUGGCCUUGCUGUACCUAAAUGACAAGGGAGCCUGUAUUUAAAACAAAGACCCCAUGCAACAACUACUCAGCCAAACCACGCCAGAGUUCCCUGCUGAAUUCUCAGGGCAGUGCCUGGCACUUAGCAGGUGCGCGAGAAAUAUCUGUUGAAGGAGGAGGGUAUCCACUGCUCUUGGCAGCAUCCUCGGGUCAGAUCUUGGAGCCCAGUUUCUCCCUGGGUGAGCUGUCCUGGCCACUGCACUCCCUGGUUUUGCCUCAGGAGGGUGCCAGAACCCUGGCAUCUGGCUUGGGGGCAGCCAGGACUGGGUCUGGGGCCCUGCCUUGGAGAGGUGCUCCCCACUGACGCAGGCUUUGCACCUGACAGGUCCCUGCCUGGGGAGUCUGAGGGUGUGUGUCAGGAGGAAGGAGGGAAAAUCCUCGUCUGGGCCUUUGUCCUGACCCCAGCUUCUCCCACACUGGGACGGAGCUCACUGGCUCCCUGGUAGGUGCGGGGAUGGCUCUCGAGGAUGGUGCUUCCUGAUUGGACCCAGAGCACGCAAGAACCCUCGAUCCCAGGAGCCAGGCUUGGGAAGCAGAGAUUCCAGGAGCAGAAAAGGCAUCUGGGAAUAUCCCAGGGGAGAUGGGGAGGACCAGAAGGACCUUCCCUCUGCGGAAGCUGGCCCGAUGGGAGGAGGAGAGGCUGCGGCUCCUCCUCGGGGGCUUGGGGGUGCAGGGAAGGGCUGGAGCUGCAGGGAAAGGCUCAGAGCUGCUGGGAAGGGCUCCGAGCUGCAGGGAAGGGCUCAGAGCUGCAGGGAAAGGCUCAGAGCUGCUGGGAAGGGCUCAGAGCUGCAGGGAAGGGCUGGAGCUGCAGGGAAAGGCUCAGAGCUGCUGGGAAGGGCUCAGAGCUGCAGGGAAGGGCUCAGAGCUGCAGGGAAAGGCUCAGAGCUGCUGGGAAGGGCUCAGAGCUGCAGGGAAGGGCUGGAGCUGCAGGGAAAGGCUCAGAGCUGCUGGGAAGGGCUCAGAGCUGCAGGGAAGGGCUCAGAGCUACAGGGAAGGGCUCCGAGCUGCGAGCAUGGCUCAGCCCAGGACCAGGCAGGCAGAGCAUGAACGACCGCUGGCAUUGACUAAGCACUUGCUAUGUGCCAAGUGCCAUCUCAUUUAAUCCUCACAGCUUGCCCUCACUCUGCAAGGAAUGAAAGUGAGGCAGAAGGAGGUUCUAAGUACUAAAGCCACGGUCCUUGAGAGUACAGAGGAGCUGGGUCUUGACCCAGUCUGCUGGCGCCAGACUGGGCUCUUGCCCCUGACGCCUCAGAUGGGAGAGUGUAACAUGAGUGCUGUGAGGGGGACCUGCUUUCUUCCUGAUUUCUCCGGUCAUUGAAGGGCCACUCAGCUGGAGACCCUAACUGCGUCUUCCAGGCUUCCAGCAAUGCAGGUGGUGUGCAGCCAGCCCUGGAGAGCGUGCACGGGGCUGGGGAAAGGAAGGUGAGAGUCAGCGGUGCCUGUGGUCCCCACCUUCCCCAGGGUAUGGUCCUGGCACCGAGGGCACACAGACCCGGAAGAGCUUCGCUGUCACCAACUGGCCCUGCUCCAGCAAGGCUAGCGAUGAAAGCCCUUCUGGAGUUUCCGGUUACUCUGGGAGGUUUGGGGAGAUUAUUCUGAGCACUAAAUCGCUAAAUGAGCUCACCCAGAUUAUCAGGUUAGGCGGGUUCGCCACAAAGGAGGUGGGCAAGACCCUGGAGUGCCAGGAGUCCAGCGCCUGCUCCUGCCUCCCUACCCUCUGGGUAAGUGUGGGGUGAAACCAGCCGCCCUUUGUGCCCUGGGGAGCUGGGGAUCAAGCCCCUGGCUUACCCUUUGUGCCCACAUGGAGCCCAAGCCCUCGGUCAUGCUGCACAUGGCAGGACAGUGGGCACAAGGUGACACUGGAUCAGAAAGGGACAGAGGCCAAGAGCUUUCACCAGCACCAGCAUAAAGUGGAGCUCCGAGCCUAAAAUGGGCCAUUAUCGACAACAUUCAGUGAAGCAUGACCCCGUACCUGAGGUCCGCCAGAUGCCCGGGGCAGUCACAGAAAUCGGCCAGUCCUCAGCGAGGCCACUGGGGCUCAUUCUCCUCGCCCACUGCGGGCUGCUGAACCCGCCCUGGGGAGGGGCGCAGGGCAACCUGGGGCUCUCAAGGGCUUGAACGUGCCCCUGAGCAGGUGGCGUUGGUUUGGGGACUGCCACCCCCUGAGCCUCCCUGAGUCCCUGCCCACCGAGGUGUCAGCUCCUGGUGCUGGGUGACGGCGGGGGAGCAGGGAGGCACUGCUGUGUCCCAGGUCCUGUAAUUUCCUGCUUCACCCCCUUGUUUGGGUGGAGCAAGAAUUUCACAUGAAUUCCUAAGGUGUGGCAUUGACUUGUAACUGGGCUGAGUGUAUAUUCGAGAUUGGGAAUCUUUCCCUGUGACCUGAAAGCCUACGGCUUCGUGGUCUUUGUACCCCCACCCUUCAAUACGGGACGCUUAAGGCCAUCUGAUUCCACCCUUCUCUAUGCAGCCUGGUUUUUUCUCUAGAGAAGCUUUGAGGGUCUUCUUUUUAUUCUUGGUGUUCUAAAACUUCUCAGCUGUGAGUGUAGGUGUGGGUCUUUUUCUCUUCAUUUUCCAGGAUCCUGGAGGUCUUGCAAUCCAGAGACGUGUGUCCUUCCGCUCACAAAAUCCUCGCACGUUAUCUCUUGGAGAAUUUCACUUUCUCUGUUCUCUCUGUUCGUUGGAUGUCAAACCUCUUGGUUUCGUUUUCCAUGUCUCUUUGUCUUCUUCCCUUUAUUUUUACCUCUUCUUAAAAUAUUGGAAAAUGUCUUUUAUAUUCCAACCCUUCAGUGAGAUUUUUAUUUUGGCAAUCAUUCUGAAUUUGUAGGAAUUCUUUCUUGUGUGUUUUUCAGUUUGCCCAGCUGGGGAGAUGCUGUGCCCCAUGGCCCAGAACCAUUCCUUUCCGAACCAACAUGUAAUGGCACGUUCACCUGAUACGCAUGCACAUGCGCCCUGAUUAAGCACAGCUGGUCCCCAGUUGUAACAAACAAACCUGCUAUCCUCUGCUCUCUUGUGUAUAAACUCUCCAUCAGCACUGAGCUUGGGGAGACGGCUGUUUUUGGCAAAUAUCCCCCGUGUUCUCCAUUGCUUGUGCAAGCAAUAAACCUUUUCUUCACCUA